rnacentral:rRNA from 1 species
GACGAACGCUGGCGGCGUGCUUAACACAUGCAAGUCGAACGGUAAGGCCCUUCGGGGUACACGAGUGGCGAACGGGUGAGUAACACGUGGGUGAUCUGCCCUGCACUUCGGGAUAAGCUUGGGAAACUGGGUCUAAUACCGGAUAGGACCACGGUCUGCAUGGAUUGUGGUGGAAAGCUUUUGCGGUGUGGGAUGGGCCCGCGGCCUAUCAGCUUGUUGGUGGGGUGAUGGCCUACCAAGGCGACGACGGGUAGCCGGCCUGAGAGGGUGUCCGGCCACACUGGGACUGAGAUACGGGCCCAGACUCCUACGGGAGGCAGCAGUGGGGAAUAUUGCACAAUGGGCGCAAGCCUGAUGCAGCGACGCCGCGUGGGGGGAUGACGGCCUUCGGGUUGGUAAACCUCUUUCUAGCAGGGACGAAGGGUGACUGACGGUACCUGUAGAAGAAGCACCGGCCAACUACGUGCCAGCAGCCGCGGUAAU